AAACCAGACUCCUACGGGAGGCAGCAGUGGGGAAUAUUGCACAAUGGGGGAAACCCUGAUGCAGCGACGCCGCGUGAGUGAAGAAGUAUUUCGGUAUGUAAAGCUCUAUCAGCAGGGAAGAAAAUGACGGUACCUGACUAAGAAGCCCCGGCUAACUACGUGCCAGCAGCCGCGGUAAUACGUAGGGGGCAAGCGUUAUCCGGAUUUACUGGGUGUAAAGGGAGCGUAGACGGCAUGGCAAGUCAGAUGUGAAAGCCCGGGGCUCAACCCCGGGACUGCAUUUGAAACUGUCAGGCUGGAGUGCAGGAGAGGUAAGUGGAAUUCCUAGUGUAGCGGUGAAAUGCGUAGAUAUACGGAGGAACACCAGUGGCGAAGGCGGCCUGCUGGACAUUAACUGACGCUGAGGCGCGAAAGCGUGGGGAGCAAACAGGAUUAGAUACCCGAGUA
rnacentral:rRNA from 1 species